rnacentral:rRNA from 1 species
CCUACGGGUGGCAGCAGUGGGGAAUAUUGGGCAAUGGGCGCAAGCCUGACCCAGCAACGCCGCGUGAAGGAAGAAGGCUUUCGGGUUGUAAACUUCUUUUCUCAGGGACGAAGAAAGUUACGGUACCUGAGGAAUAAGCCACGGCGCACUACGUGCCAGCAGCCGCGGUAAUACGUAGGUGGCAAGCGUUAUCCGGAUUUACUGGGUGUAAAGGGCGUGUAGGCGGGGAAGCAAGUCAGAGGUGAAAGCCACGGGCUAAACCUGUGGCCUGCAUUUGAAACGGUUUUUCGUGGGGACUGGAGGGUAAGACGGAAUGCCUGGGGUAGCGGUGAAAUGGGUAGAUAUUAGGAGGAACACCAGUGGCGAAGGCGGUCUGCUGGACAGCAACUGAGGCUGAGGCGCGAAAGCGUGGGGAGCAAACAGGAUUAGAUACCCAGUAGUC